rnacentral:rRNA from 1 species
UACGUAGGGGGGCAAGCGUUGUCCGGAAUCAUUGGGCGUAAAGAGCGUGUAGGCGGCCCGAUAAGUCCGCUGUGAAAGUCCAGGGCUCAACCCUGGAAUGCCGGUGGAUACUGUCGGGCUCGAAUCCGGAAGAGGUGAGUGGAAUUCCUGGUGUAGCGGUGAAAUGCGUAGAUAUCAGGAGGAACACCAGUGGCGAAGGCGCCGCUCUGGGCCGAGACUGACGCUGAGGAGCGAAAGCGUGGGUAGCAAACAGG